UCAUGAGUGCCAGAUAGUGAAAAUCACUUUUGCCACCAAAAUAUUUGGUUUUAGUAAAAAUUUUCUUUUGGUCUUUUCAUUUUUUUUUCUUCAGAAGAAAAGAAAAACCUCAAGUCUCUAUUUUUUUCAUAUGACACAUAAAAUAUUUCUCCAUUAUCUACUACAUUAUUCUCAUAUGACACAUAACUCACAAUUCUUAGUUUCAGUGACGGUUACAUCGGCGACCUUUCUGCAAGCCUGGUAACGUCUCUUGUAUGUUUAUAAGCUAAAGCUUGUACCUUUGAGGCUUUGCUUAGUUUUUCUCCCUUAGAUUUGGUCUCACCUUUUCUUUUAGUUACUCUGUUUCUUUUGAGAAGAAGCGGACAUUUCUGGUGCUUCUGAUUCGAAGGUAAGACUUCAGGGAACAUGUUACCUCUAAGGUAAGACUCUUUUCUUUUGGCUCUGAGCUUGAUUGAAAGAAAUUGAGCGUUGACCCUCUAAGCAUGAACACAGUCUCUGGCUUAUGAUGUUUGUAUCUGAGGGGAAAUUGGAUUUGUUUGCAAGAGGUAGAUCGAUAACUGGUUCUGGGCUAUGGAGAUAUAUGAAUCCAGCGUAUUAUCUGAAAAAGGCCAAAGCAUUUGGCAUUGCUUUUCAUUGUGUUCGUUUCUGUUUCUAUGGAGGUUUGAGAUCGUAUAUAUCUUGCCUGAGAAAAUGAGUUAUGUUUUGUAUGAAUAUCUCUGUCUAAGAGAUAGUUUUAGUAUCAUUGUAAGGAUUAGCUUAUGCUGAUGUUUGAUUUUAGGGAGCGUAAAGCUGUUCUGUUCAUUGAUGAUGGCCAAAGUUCGUUCCUUUAGCUUAGAACAAUUUUAAAGCUCAUGUCUGAACCAAUUUGAAAGCUCAUGUCUCUCUUAAUUAUCAUUAUGAAUGUUUGUUUUUUCUUUCUUCAAGAUUGCUUUCUCAUACACAAAACUUGUUGCUGUUUGGUGAGUUACUUGCAUCAGAGGAGCUUGUCUUGUGUCUGAAUCGCCAUUUUCUGUGACUGGACUGUAUUGAAACUGCAGUUUGAUAGCUUGUGUUGAGAUCUUAAUUGUCUUUCGAUGAUCUGAUCGUAGCUCUUAUUACUGAGUUUAAGUUUCAUAUCUUUUGCAGAUGACUGAACCCAUAUUAAAGGCUGCUAGGUAUUGAUUCAAUAGGAAUGGUGAAGAGCCUGAUGAGUGACGAAGCUUCAAGGGUCUGGUACCAGAAAACAGAAUCCUUGCUCCGGAGCAUCUUCGUUGCCGGGUCUCGGCGUCGGGUUUAGAUUAUGAAGGCUGCGACUGUGGAUUCGGAUUCUCAUCAUCAUCCUCUCAUGCGUUAGUCUCAAAGCAACUUCCCAUUAGAUGAAGACCACAAAGACUUGCAUUCACUUCAAAGGAUGAUUUAGGUUUUUGAUUUUGAUAUGUUAAAGUUUGUUGAGGCAUUGGUUCGUAGAUUUAGCAAUCUUAGGAAUUGUUUUGGUUUAUGUGUAUUUUGGAUGAUAUAUGAAAUAGUCUAUAUUUUGGAAAUUUAAUGAAAUUUAAAUUUUUAUA